UACGGAGGAUGCAAGCGUUAUCCGGAAUGAUUGGGCGUAAAGCGUCCGCAGGUGGCAAUGUAAGUCUGCUAUCAAAGCGUCUGGCUCAACCAGAUAAAGGCAGUGGAAACUACAUAGCUAGAGUAAGGUAGGGGUAGAGGGAAUUCCUGGUGUAGCGGUGAAAUGCGUAGAGAUCAGGAAGAACACCGGUGGCGAAGGCGGUUCUCUGGGACGGUACUGACGCUGAGACGCGAAAGCGUGGGGAGCGAACAGG
rnacentral:rRNA from 1 species